rnacentral:rRNA from 1 species
UACAGAGGGUGCGAGCGUUGUCCGGAAUCACUGGGCGUAAAGGGCGCGUAGGUGGUGGCUUAAGCGUGCGGUGAAAGCUCGGGGCUCAACUCCGAGUCGGCCGUGCGAACUGGGCUCACUGGAGCAUAGUAGAGGCAGGUGGAAUUCCGGGUGUAGCGGUGAAAUGCGCAGAUAUCAGGAGGAACACCAACAGGCGAAGGCAGAUCUCUGGGACGUUACUGACGCUGAGACGCGAAAGCGUGGGGAGCAAACAGG